UACGUAGGGGGCAAGCGUUGUCCGGAAUCAUUGGGCGUAAAGCGCGUGUAGGCGGUUCGGUAAGUCUGCUGUGAAAGUCCAGGCUCAACCCUGGGAUGCCGGUGGAUACUGUCGGACUAGAGUACGGAAGAGGCGAGUGGAAUUCCCGGUGUAGCGGUGAAAUGGCGCAGGAUAUCGGGAGGAACACCAAUUGCGAAGGCAGCUCGCUGGGCGUCGACUGACGCUGAGACGCGAAGCGUGGGAGCGAACGAGG
rnacentral:rRNA from 1 species